UCAGAUCUAACUCCAGUCCAAUAUCCCCUAAGAAGCCUUCUCUGACCACUCCAGGGCACAAUGAUCUCAAGGUUCAGCAUCUCCAGAGAUGAGCUUUCCAAAUACCUGAUGAAGAUAUGCAUGUGAGAAGGAAUUAAUGACAGGCAUUAACACUAUAUUGGCCAGAGGACUCAUUAGCUGAUUCCGCAGGAUAUGUGGAUACCAAAAUUACCUCAGGGCCAUUUGCUGUAAUGAACUGCCGCUGGGGAGAGACAUCAUAAGGUCUGAGAUGGUCUGCAGCAAGCGGUGAAAGGAGUCAGUGAUGCCACAAAAUGCCACAGAAUAUCAUGGAGAGAAGUGGUUUGGAUGACAUUACACAGAAGCCAGUUGAAAGCCUGAAGAAAUGACGGUUAAAUGAGUUCAAGAAUAAAAUACAUGAGUUUAAAAAGUACUCAGAAAUAAAGUACCUCCAUGGAUUAAGACUUCAAAGAAAGAUACUAGAAAAUCUUUUUUAAUUAAAAAAAAUGCCUUAUAGUUUUA
ensembl:lncRNA MYCBP2-AS1 MYCBP2 antisense RNA 1